CGCGUAGGUGGUAGUGCAAGUCUGAUGUGGAAUCUUAGGGCUUAACCCUAAAAUUGCAUUGGAAACUGUAUUACUUGAGUCAGUGAGGGGAGGGUAGAAUUCCUGGUGUAGCGGUGAAAUGCGUAGAUAUCAGGAGGAAGGCCGGUGGCGAAGGCGGCCCUCUGGCGCUGAACUGACACUGAGGCGCGAAAGCGUGGGUAGCAAACAGGAUUAGAUACCCUGGUAGUCCACGCCCUAAACGGUGGGUACUAGGUGUAGGGCUCGUAAGGGUUCUGUGCCGAAGCGAAAGCAUUAAGUACCCCGCCUGGGGAGUACGGCCGCAAGGUUGAA
rnacentral:rRNA from 1 species